rnacentral:rRNA from 1 species
UACGUAGGGGGCAAGCGUUGUCCGGAUUUAUUGGGCGUAAAGGGCGCGUAGGCGGCUUUGCAAGUGACGGGUGAAAGCCCUCGGCUUAACCGAGGAACUGCCUGUCAGACUGUAAGGCUUGAGACCGGGAGAGGUGAGUGGAAUUCCCAGUGUAGCGGUGAAAUGCGUAGAUAUUGGGAGGAACACCAGUGGCGAAGGCGGCUCACUGGACCGGAACUGACGCUGAGGCGCGAAAGCGUGGGGAGCAAACAGG